CCUACGGGAGGCAGCAGUGGGGAAUAUUGGACAAUGGGGGGAACCCUGAUCCAGCGACGCCGCGUGAGUGAAGAAGUAUUUCGGUAUGUAAAGCUCUAUCAGCAGGGAAGAAAGAAAUGACGGUACCUGACUAAGAAGCCUCGGCUAACUACGUGCCAGCAGCCGCGGUAAUACGUAGGGGGCAAGCGUUAUCCGGAUUUACUGGGUGUAAAGGGAGCGUAGGCGGUUACGCAAGUCUGGAGUGAAAGGCGGGGGCCCAACCCCCGGACUGCUUUGGAAACUGUAUAACUGGAGUGCAGGAGAGGUAGGUGGAAUGCCUAGUGUAGCGGUGAAAUGCAUAGAGAUUAGGAAGAACACCAGUGGCGAAGGCGGCUUACUGGACUGUAACUGACGUUGAGGCUCGAAAGCGUGGGGAGCAAACAGGAUUAGAUACCCCAGUAGUC
rnacentral:rRNA from 1 species